AGAUCAAUGGUAAGCAUACUUGUCUGGGGAUUCUAGAUUAUUUCCAGACAUUAAUCAGAGGUUC